rnacentral:rRNA from 1 species
UACGUAGGGUGCAAGCGUUAAUCGGAAUUACUGGGCGUAAAGCGUGCGCAGGCGGUUUCGUAAGUCUGUCGUGAAAUCCCCGGGCUUAACCUGGGAAUGGCGAUGGAGACUGCGAGGCUAGAGUUUGGCAGAGGGGGGUAGAAUUCCACGUGUAGCAGUGGAAAUGCGUAGAGAUGUGGAGGAACACCGAUGGCGAAGGCAGCCCCCUGGGUCAAAACUGACGCUCAUGCACGAAAGCGUGGGGAGCAAACAGG